UUCAAAUCAGGUGUUAUAACUAAUC
rnacentral:piRNA from 1 species